UACGUAGGGUGCGAGCGUUGUCCGGAAUUAUUGGGCGUAAAGGGCUUGUAGGCGGUUUGUCGCGUCUGCUGUGAAAUCUCAAGGCUCAACCUUGAGCUUGCAGUGGGUACGGGCAGACUAGAGUGUGGUAGGGGAGACUGGAAUUCCUGGUGUAGCGGUGAAAUGCGCAGAUAUCAGGAGGAACACCGAUGGCGAAGGCAGGUCUCCUGGGC
rnacentral:rRNA from 1 species